UACGUAGGGACCAAGCGUUGUCCGGAAUCAUUGGGCGUAAAGAGCGUGUAGGCGGCUUGUUAAGUCUUGCGUGAAAUCUCGGGGCUCAACCCCGAGCGGUCGUGAGAAACUGGCAGGCUAGAGUGCGGGAGAGGAGAGUGGAAUUCCUGGUGUAGCGGUGAAAUGCGCAGAUAUCAGGAAGAACACCCGUGGCGAAGGCGGCUCUCUGGAACGCGACUGACGCUGAGACGCGAAAGCGUGGGGAGCAAACAGG
rnacentral:rRNA from 1 species